AGUAUUCACUGCAGCUGGCCAGGUGGGCGCUCCAUCAUCCCAUUUCUCGGGACCACGGGCAGGGGAAUUACUGAAAACUUGAAUUCUCAACUGGCUCUCCUCAUUCCUGGGUUAUGCGUAGAGAGCAACUUAACUUCUUGAAUCAAACUUGAGAACCACUCUUCGAAGGAAGUGGUUUGCCUAAGUAGCAAACUAGUACAGGUCGUAAAAGCCCAAAAUAGAAGAGCAGAGCUUGAGGAAAGUCUGGACUUGGGAUCAGAGGCUAAAAUACGGAACAAAAACGAAGGCAGCUUCCCCCAGGAAUAAAACGCAAAUAAGUGCCCUCUCUGCAGACUGGAGGGGUCUUUUCUUUGGCAGAGGUGGGGAUCCACAGCCUGGCUCUGGAUUGCACCCACACGCGCUUUCAAAACACACCCUACUGGUCCUUAGGUGGAAAGCAGUGGACUGUUGGGAAAACAGCGGCAAAGGAAAACCACCCAAGCCGGAGGCUCAUCAAACUUAGUUGGUAUCAGAUUUCAAGGGGGACAACCACCCAGUUGGUUUCUGAGGAGAAUUAACAGCAUACGGUAAAAACAAGACAACAAGCCCCGUAUGGAGUUGCUUACGUAACCGAGCCCCAGAUCACCAAACCCAGGCUUAACUACACCUUCUGCUCUCCCAGAAAUGGAACUUUAAGCCACUCAGGAAUCGCCUGACCAACACCAGUUAAGUCACCUGCCCCAUAGGCUCCUGCCAUCCCCUAAAAGAAAGGAACCUUGCAAUAACCAGGAAAAACCUCCUUCUUCCUGCUCCCUUCGGGCUAUAAAAGUCUCAUCCUGCCUGCACCGCUCCCCCGAGCUCCUCUCCCUGCUAGGUUGCAUACUGCUCGAUUUGCUUCGACUUUGCUCAAUAAAUUGUUAAAAUGUUUAAUAUUUCUCGGCUUAUCUUAUAAUAGUUCCAGUAUCAGAAGAAGGAAGCCAAGGAAGCCCCUGAGAGCCCCCAGGAGAAAGGAGCACCCCGGCCCCACAGGCACCUGCUGAGCCCCUGAGCUCGCUGCUGUCCCGUUGGAGGUGGUGGGGGGCCCCUCUGGGAUCCCGGCUCCUCGGCUUCUGUCAGGAAGGAGCCUCUACCCUCAAGGCAUCUCUUUUUCCCCACCUGGCUCCCAGACCGGCCGCAGGACACCAGCUCAGACUUAAAAACCAUCCCGGUUCAACUUGAAGACCAGACCAGUUUCUGGUGAUCACCCCAGAGGGACGCCCCACUCGCUCUGGAACCUGCAGAAGGAUCCUGGGAGAACUGGCAGAGCCAGCGAAGGAAAAUAAAAGUUUCAAGAUCUGCGAAGAUUAUCCCUGAUUCUCUACAUUUAGCCAAAGAAGCAAUCCUAAUGCCUAAAGAGCACAGUCUAAGAAUCUGCCCCACAUCCCUUGUGCACCUGUUGUUAGUGUUAUCAGUUUGUUCACCUGGCCAGAAAUUCACAGAGAGAGAACUGCAGAGAGAGGCUGGGCCAAUGCACGUUCCAUUUGUCAUUAAGAAGCUAUCGCCUCAUGGCACCAGUUUGAUGUCCAAAUGUCACCGCAUAAUCUCAGCAAAGGCUAACAGCUGAGGAGUAAUGCAGGCUUAGCAGCUUCCUGGGCUCCCUUCUCCUGUGCCCCCAUCUCCAAGCUCCUCUAGUGUCAAAAACGUCCUCCAUAAGAGCAUGUUAGAACUCCCAGUUACAGCUAUUUUUUUAAUCUAAAAGUUAUGGGGAAAGAUCACUUCUUUUUUUUUAUUUUUUAUUUUUUUUUUAAAUUUACAUCCAAAUUAGUUAGCAUAUAGUGCAACAAUGAUUUCAGGAGU